rnacentral:lncRNA from 1 species
UUGGUUAGGUAUGUUUUGAAAAAAUUACAAUUAGUGACCAGUUGUGUUUAUUGCUUUGCAGUUGCAGCGUUACUAUGAGCGCUACCUGCGUGCUGAGAGCUUCAGGAAAGCUCUGGUUUAUCAGAAGCGGUACCUGUUGCUGUUGCUUGGAGGAUUCCAGGAGUGUGAACAGGCCACACUGUGUCUGAUUGCUCGCAUGGGAGCACGACCUUCAACCCCCCUUUCAGCCCCCCGCAGGCCCAUCAGACGAUUUAGAGCUGCUGUUCAAGUCGUCAUUGCACUGUCAAGGUGGAGAUUUGCACACUGAAAUAUAUUUAACAACCUUUAUCACAUGAAAAACUUUUACUGAUUUUUUUUUUUUUCUCAGAAUGAAGUUUUUGACCAGGAAAUGGCAAAAAGCGAUCAGAAGGCCAUCAUUGUCUGCUACUGGGCAUGCCACUGGUUAGUUCUGCAUAUACAGUUUAUUAGUCCUCUAAUUGUGAGUAAGAAUUUUUUUUUUUUUUGUGUAUUUUAAAGGACCUAAAGCGGACGUCUUAAGGCAGCAGCAGCAGCAGCCAAGAUCUAAAUCAGAUUUGACUCAGAACAGAGAAAGUAAGGCCGUCCAAAGAGCAACAGUUUCAUCUCUUCUGCCACCGAGUAAAUCACCCUUCAGGUUGCACAACAGAUCUCACUCCAGUUCCACCAUGGCCUCGGUGCAUUCGGAUGGAACCUCUCAGGAUCCUGAGCGAUCGCUGACUGAAUACAUCCAUCAUCUAGAGAAAGUCCAACAACGGUUGGUGGGAGCAAAGCAAAGUUCUGCCGUCCUCCAGACCCGGCCAAAGUAGUCUGAUUACUCUGACUGAAGUUGGCCGGCCCUAAUGUUGUUCAACAGUUUAUCAUGCCUUACUCCCAUGAAACACCAAAAUAUCAACCUUGUUUAAUUUUGUUAAAAUGUAGUAACAUUAAACAUGUUUUCUAAGGAAUUCUUUUUUUAUUUAAUUAUUAAACGAUUUGCAUAUUUUUAUUUGUAUGUCCGCAGAAGAUGCUGUAUUAGCAAAUGUUUUCUGUGAUCUUAUUGUUUUUAAGCUGAUGUUUAGUGUUAUACUAAUGAGACUGAUUUGUAUAGAUGUAAACAUGUUUUGUUUCCAAUACUUGAAACUACUCAACAUGCAAUGUUGAAUAAAGAUAAGUUGUGUUUUAGUUAUUAAAGACUUUUCAUCUGGUUUUAAAAUCUGAUGUGCUUUAUCGCAAAAUUUUUAUUAUUUUUAUUUUAAAGCGAUAAGAAUAAGCCACGUUUGUGUUAAAUUAGAAAGUAACCCAUAUGAAAACAUAACUAAAUAUCUCAAACUCGAUGAGUUGCACAAAAAAAUACUUGUUUUAACCAGUAAACAAACAGAUUAUUUCCAACUAUCUGUUCAAAAUGUCUUCCUAAAUUGAAUAAAUUAGUGUUAUUAAUCUUGAUCAGGUGUGUAAAUCUUUGUUGAUUAUUAUGUAAACAGUUACCCAACAUAGCCAAUGAGCAUCAGCGAUUUUAGUGACGUAUUCCCCAUCUCCUAAAGAGUUUUUCGUUUACGACACCCGAAGAUACCGUAGGCGGUCGGAAAACACAACUCUGGCUCACCCGAGGACUCCGCCCAUCCUUUUUUCUGUUGGCGUUAAAGACGUUCGCCAUUCGACGUGACGCACGUCUUUCGCACCAGUACAGCGAUGCUAAGCUAAAGUAACGGCAGGCGCGUGUCGUAGAUUGCUGUUUUGACACUUUACCUUUUAAAUAAACCGUCCUGGCCCGCGCGGAAGACCUCGUUACAC